UGAACCUGCGGAAGGAUCAUUAUCGAGUUAGGGUCUUAUAGGCCCGACCUCCAACCCUUUGUUUACUACACCAUGUUGCUUUGGCGGGCCCGCCUUUUGGGGCCGCCGGGGGUUUACAAGCCCCUGGUCAGUGUUCGCCAGUAGCCUUAUUAAAUUCUUUUAUAAUUAUGUUGUCUGAGUAUAAAUAUAAAUCGUUAAAACUUUCAACAACGGAUCUCUUGGUUCUGGCAUCGAUGAAGAACGCAGCGAAAUGCGAUAAGUAAUGCGAAUUGCAGAAUUCAGUGAGUCAUCGAAUCUUUGAACGCAUAUUGCGCCCUUUGGCAUUCCGAAGGGCAUGCCUGUUCGAGCGUCAUUAUCAACCAUCAAGCCUGGCUUGUCGUUGGACCUCUUUACCGCUGAAAUAUGUGGUAGGUCCGAAAGAUAAUGACGGCGUCGUGUUUGACCCUAGAUGCAACGAGCUUUUUAUAGCAUGCAUUGAAGUGGUCGGCCGACCCGGUCUUUAACCAUCAUUUUCUAAGGUUGACCUCGGAUCAGGUAGGAAUACCCGCUGAACUUAAGCAUAUCAAUAAGCGGAGG
rnacentral:rRNA from 1 species